GAUGAACGCUGGCGGCGUGCCUAAUACAUGCAAGUAGAACGCUGAAGGAAGGAGCUUGCUCUUUCCGGAUGAGUUGCGAACGGGUGAGUAACGCGUAGGUAACCUGCCUGGUAGCGGGGGAUAACUAUUGGAAACGAUAGCUAAUACCGCAUAACAGUAGAUGUUGCAUGAUAUCUACUUAAAAGGUGCAAUUGCACCACUACCAGAUGGACCUGCGUUGUAUUAGCUAGUUGGUGAGGUAACGGCUCACCAAGGCGACGAUACAGAGCCGACCUGAGAGGGUGAUCGGCCAGACUGGGACUGAGACACGGCCCAGAGGCCUACGGGAGGCAGCAGUAGGGAAUCUGCGGCAAUGGACGGAAGUCUGACCGAGCAACGCCGCGUGAGUGAAGAAGGUUUUCGAAUCGUAAAGCUCUGUUGUAAGAGAAGAACGAGUGUGAGAGUGGAAAGUUCACACUGUGACGGUAUCUUACCAGAAAGGGACGGCUAACUACGUG
rnacentral:rRNA from 1 species